GGCGCUGUGGCUUAGCUGGUUAUAGCACCUGUCUCGUAAACAGGAGAUCCUGGGUUCAAAUCCCAGCAGUGCCU
rfam:Takifugu rubripes chromosome, Chr_1